rnacentral:lncRNA from 1 species
CGGUCCUAUAUAUUUAAGAAUCGAGGUGAAUGGAAAAACCUUCGAAAAUGCCUCGAUGCAUUUUCGAAAUUUGGAUACUGACGUGAUAAAAUAUCUCCCGAAACGUAUAAAAACUGGCCACGGUUUUGCUUAAAAGCGCUUGGUUUUGACGACGUUGCCGCUUCUUCAAGUGGAACUCUUUAAAAUAAAUAUAACUCCGCUGCACUUCACCGAUUUCAAUGAUUUUUUUUUUUCAAAAUAUACGAAAGACUUAUCUUGAAUAGAGCUUUCUGAUGGUAUAAAGGUCUUGGGAUAUACUUAGGACUAUGCGCGCACUUACGCGGAUUCAGCAGUUUUUGAUAAACACAAAUUUUCAGUUUUUAUUUUACUACGAUCUUAAAUUCCAUGAAACAUAAAAAACCGGUCUAAAUGAAAUUUCAGCAUUUCAAUCUCUAGAAAGCUCACGAUUAUCACGGGAGAACGUCUAAGUUUUUGAGAUACCUACAACCACUCAAAGUUGGUCAAAGACGUCUUUACGCUGUCGGGAACUACUAGUGCGAUGUUCAACAAUCGUGUAGUAGGGCUCUCGAAUAAUUAAUCUAUCACAAGGGGCAGUAAGGCAUCUCAAUCAAGCAGUUCUUUUAAAGCGUAAGCUGCCAGGCUGCGACGUAGCCAUUUUUCAAAGUGAAAAUAUCCAAAAAUUCAUAACAGUGGUGUAAUUGAACCAAUUUCAAUGAUCUUUCUUUUACAAUUUUACUGUGAAAUAGAUCUUCCUGACGAUGUAAAGUUUCUUGGGUUUACUCAUCACUAAGUGGUACUUACGCGUUUUUAACGGUUUGUUAGAAAAUUCCAGCUGUUUUGCUUCUUGUAAUAACCAUUUUAGUAUAAGUACAAACUAAUUGAAAGUUUCUAAUUUUUUGUCCGCAAAAAGGACUUAACGGAUCUUUUGAUUUUUUUCUGAGAGAAUAUGGGUGUCUGUUAAUUAAAUGUAUCUUAAAAUAUAUUGAUUCAGGUACCCAUAGGCUUUUUUUUCUUGCUUACAAGCAGCCAAGGACCACAAUUGAGUUCUCUGAGCCAUUUUUGCCUGCUUUGCCUUUACCAAAAUCACGUGCAAACUGGACGUUGGCAGAAUUCGUAAAAAAUAUGAUUUGAUUGGACCAGUUGCGGGUAACUUUUAUCAAAUAAAUUGGCAGGAGGAGGGUAAUAAUUUGAAAGAUGAUAAAAGCCCAAAAUCGAAAACAAAAUAUCUCUAUAAACUUCACAAUAUUCUUAUUUUUUUGUUUCCUUUGAAUUUAAGAUAAAAUUCUAUACUUUCUUGACGUUUUUUUUUGAAACCGCUCACACAGACCAGUCCGUAGGAGCAAAGUAAAAAAUGAAUGUAAAGGACAAAAUAUAAUUUGAAAAUUUACUCAAACUGACACAAUCAUAAAACACUUUGAUGGAGGAAGUGACUGAUUUUUUCCUUUUUUUUAAAAAAAAAAUGCGCAUUUGUGGGCUACUUGAAGUAGCAGUAAAAAAAAAAAAUAUUAUCCGCUAAUUUCAGAGGAAAUCAGUGGCGAGGCGUGAAUAAUCGAUUAUCGAUAUUUACCCAUUUGAAGCUGUGGUAACAGAUCGAUUAUUAAGGUGUUCGUUGCAAACACCUUGUUUAUCGAUCCUUUUCCAUUGAUUUAAAUGGCAGAUCAAUCGAUACAUCGUACAGCAUGUCAAGCCACUGGAGGAAGUAAUGUCGAGCCGCAAGUAGCUUGACAGCUGGAAUAAAUGUGACAUAUUUCUCUGUAAGGUUCGUUUCUUGAAGGGACAUACAUUUUUGGCCGAAGUUACAUAUUCUGA